rnacentral:snRNA from 1 species
AUCACUUCUCGGCCUUUUGGCUAAGACCAAGUGUAGUAUCUGAACCAGGAAGUUACUAAAUAAGAACUCUUUUAACCUCU